rnacentral:rRNA from 1 species
AAUGAACGCUGGCGGCGCGCCUAAUACAUGCAAGUCGAGCGAGAAGACGUAGCAAUACGUUUGUAAAGCGGCGAACGGGUGAGGAAUACAUGGGUAACCUACCCUCGAGUGGGGAAUAACUAGCCGAAAGGUUAGCUAAUACCGCGUACGCUUCUUGGACUUCGGUUCAGGGAGGAAAGCGAUACCGUGGGUAUCGCGCUCUUGGAUGGGCUCAUGUCCUAUCAGCUUGNGGUGAGGUAACGGCUCACCAAGGCUUCGACGGGUAGCUGGUCUGAGAGGACGAUCAGCCACACUGGCACUGCGACACGGGCCAGACUCCUACGGGAGGCAGCAGUAAGGAAUAUUGCGCAAUGGGCGAAAGCCUGACGCAGCGACGCCGCGUGGGGGA